UUACGGGAGGCAGCAGUGGGGAAUUUUGCGCAAUGGGCGAAAGCCUGACGCAGCAACGCCGCGUGGAGGAUGAAGGCCUUCGGGUCGUAAACUCCUGUCAGGGGGGACGAAUACCUUAACCGGUUUGACUGUACCCCCUGAGGAAGCCACGGCUAACUCCGUGCCAGCAGCCGCGGUAAUACGGAGGUGGCAAGCGUUGUUCGGAAUUACUGGGCGUAAAGGGCGCGUAGGCGGCUUGGCAAGUCAGAUGUGAAAGCCCCGGGCUUAACUCGGGAAUUGCAUCUGAAACUGCUUUGCUUGAGUCCUGGAGGGGGUAGUGGAAUUCCCAGUGUAGCGGUGAAAUGCGUAGAUAUUGGGAGGAACACCUGCGGCGAAGGCGGCUACCUGGACAGUGACUGACGCUGAUGCGCGAAAGCUAGGGGAGCAAACGGGAUUAGAUACCCGCGUAA
rnacentral:rRNA from 1 species